UUCAUUUUUGCAGCUUUGGUUUGGUAACAAGUUAUUCACCGACGCUGCGGAUGAAUUAGAGUGAUCCGGCAUUAAAACUACGACGGAAAUUGAGAGUUUUGUAGCUCUCGCUGAGCGUGCGGCGGUAAUCGCAGGAGACAAUCGCGCGCGUAGAGCUCCUGUGGAAUUUCGGAAUCCAUUGGUGGACACUCUUAUGGAGGAUCCAGUCAAGCUACCGUCUGGUAUUGUUGUGGACAAAGGACUUAUUAUUAGACAUUUACUCAACAGUGCCACGGAUCCUUUCAAUCUGCAGCCGCUUAUGCCCGAAGAUAUGCUCGUGCCAAUGCCCGAUUUGAAAGAAAGAAUAUCAAUAUGGAAACAACAAAAGAAACAGUGCUAAGGUGACAAGAAUUAUGCACAUAAAAAUAAGAAUAUAGGGAAGGAAAGAAAAAGAAAAUAAUGUAACACAAUAAACAUACAGCAAUAUUAUGAAUAAUAAAAAUAAUAUUCACUUCUGCUCUCUCUUUCGAGGAUUUUGGGCUGUAUAAUAGUAGUAUGAAACUAUCAAAAC